rnacentral:rRNA from 1 species
GCAGUCGAACGAGAAAUCCUGGGUAACCGGGAGAGUAAAGUGGCGCACGGGUGAGUAACGCGUGGGUAACCUACCCUUGAAUUGGGGAUAACCCCGCGAAAGCGGGGCUAAUACCGAAUAAUAUUCCAGUUCCCAAGGGGAUUGGAAUCAAAGAUGGCCUCUGCAUGCAAGCUAUCGUUUAAGGAUGGGCCCGCGUACCAUUAGCUUGUUGGUAGGGUAAUGGCCUACCAAGGCAACGAUGGUUAGCUGGUCUGAGAGGAUGGCCAGCCACACUGGAACCGAGACACGGUCCAGACUCCUACGGGAGGCAGCAGUGGGGAAUCUUGCGCAAUGGGGGAAACCCUGACGCAGCAACGCCGCGUGGGUGAUGAAGGCCUUCGGGUCGUAAAGCCCUGUCAGGUGGGAAGAAACAUGCCGAUGUAAAUAACAUCGACAAUUGACGGUACUACCGGAGGAAGCACCGGCUAACUCCGUGCCAGCAGCCGCGGUAAUACGGAGGGUGCAAGCGUUGUUCGGAAUUAUUGGGCGUAAAGCGCGUGUAGGCGGUUGGGCAAGUCAGAUGUGAAAGCCUUCCGCUCAACGGAAGAAGUGCAUUUGAAACUGCUCGGCUAGAGUACGGGAGAGGAGAGUGGAAUUCCCGGUGUAGAGGUGAAAUUCGUAGAUAUCGGGAGGAACACCAGUGGCGAAGGCGGCUCUCUGGUCCGAUACUGACGCUGAGACGCGAA